ACGAACGCUGUCGGCGUGCUUAACACAUGCAAGUCGAACGGAAAGGCCCUGCUUUUGUGGGGUGCUCGAGUGGCGAACGGGUGAGUAACACGUGAGUAACCUGCCCUUGACUUUGGGAUAACUUCAGGAAACUGGGGCUAAUACCGGAUAGGAGCUCCUGCUGCAUGGUGGGGGUUGGAAAGUUUCGGCGGUUGGGGAUGGACUCGCGGCUUAUCAGCUUGUUGGUGGGGUAGUGGCUUACCAAGGCUUUGACGGGUAGCCGGCCUGAGAGGGUGACCGGCCACAUUGGGACUGAGAUACGGCCCAGACUCCUACGGGAGGCAGCAGUGGGGAAUAUUGCACAAUGGGCGGAAGCCUGAUGCAGCAACGCCGCGUGCGGGAUGACGGCCUUCGGGUUGUAAACCGCUUUCGCCUGUGACGAAGCGUGAGUGACGGUAAUGGGUAAAGAAGCACCGGCUAACUACGUG
rnacentral:rRNA from 1 species